rnacentral:lncRNA from 1 species
AGUCUAUGUACACACAGAAAAGUGUGAAGUUUUAGUCCCUCCUUGUCUCACAAUGAUAAAUACGUGAUGUUUUACAAAAGAUGAAUAAUAAAAAGAAGAAAUUCGCCAGCAAAACUGAAAGCGCAACAAAGAAAGUGAUAAACUAGAAGUAGAGGUAGAAUUGAACAUAAAUGGAGUUAUAAAAGAAAUAAAUGACCAUAAAAAUGUUGACACUGCUGUCAUUGGAGAAAUUCUAGAUAAGUAGCCAGAAGGAACUUAGUAAAAGUCUACUUAAUGGUGUAAAUAAGGAAAGUGGUUCUGACGAAAAGAAUGAAGAUGUCCUUGAGGAAGCGCUGCCAGGAAUAAACUCAGCAUUAAAAGAAUUCUCAGAGACAUUUUACAGCAUUGAAAGUGCAAAGGGUAAAAUAAUGUAAACGGAUCCAAACUUAAGAAGGAAUAUGACAAGUUGCCAAGAUAUAGAAGUGAAGCUUGCUUCCUAUCAUAAGAUAUACCAUGAGAAGAAGAGCCAGACCUUGAUUUCAUGCGAGAAGGUGGAGUAGGAGGAAGAGAAGGAGGAGAGUUAGAAGGAGUAGGAGGAGGAGGAAAACCUCCUGGCUCGUCUGAGUAUAUUCCUAGGUGAUGGCAGAGGGGCAAGAAAGCAAGCAAAAAGAAGCACAGAAGCCCUCUCAUGGCCAAAACUGGCUUGGUGUCACUUUUACCUCAUUCUAUUGGUCAAAAAAAGUCAACAGGCUGAGCCCAGAGUCAGAGUGGGAGAGUACUGCAUGGUUACAUGACAGAGGAUGUGGAUAUGAGGAAUCGUGAAGAACUGCAUCCAUUAGAGCCAUCUGUCACAGAAGGGACUAUUGUCAUUUUACUAAUUUUGUACAUGAGGAUAGGGAAGCAUGGAGAUGGUAACAUGCCUAAAGUCACAUAGCUUCUUAGCUGUGGAACCAGAAAGUAAACCUGGGCCUUCUGGGCCCAGGGCCCGUGGCUGUUAAAACCACUGUGCACACUGCCUUACUCCUACCCUUCACAAUCAGGUUUCUGCUCUGACCACCCUAGAAAACAUGCCCGUCUCAGGUUACCGAUGCUCUCCUAUGGACAGAUCCAAUAGCCUUUGUUAAUUGUCCACAUCUCUAUCCAUUCUGUAAUACUCCUGCAUGCUGCAUCCUUGGAGUUCUUUUCUCCUUUGAUUCUGCAGAACCUGUACUGUUUUGUUUCUCUUUCUGGCUUCCUCUGUCUGUCUCUCUUCACCAACUACAUAAUGCAUUCACUUCUUUUUCUUGGCAUCUCCCUUUCCAAGCACACCCACUCUCCUGGUUUCCAUUAUCUCCCUGCAGACAACUCUCAACUGGCUCUAAGAAAGCUCACUAUAAUUUUCAGCAACCUAAUUCAGUCGUUUGUCCGUCACAAAUAACAGCUCAGGAAAAUCAAAGGAUUUUCUCACUAGCAUCUUAUCAUUCCAUGUCACCUAGCAACUAUCCCAGUGCUUGAUAUUCUGCUACUAGAAACUCCCUACUACACAGAUAAUACCACUGGAAGGUAUAAAGCCACUUGACUGACCUCUCUCCAUUCACAGCAUUUAUAACUGUAAGAAAUUGCCAGUGGUUGACUCUUUCCGACCUUCGAAAGUGGCAAUUUCAUGUGGUUCAGCUUAAUAGUAUUUAUUACCUUGUGCUGUAAUAAUUUUGUAUCUGUAUCUCCCAUGAGACUCAAAGCUGCUUGAUUGAGGAGAUCAUGCUUGCUUCUGCUUUUCAUCAAGUUGCCUAGUACAUGACACUCUGUAAGGAUUAGACCAAGUAGGUAUUGAAUAAUUGUUUGGCGAAUUUAAAAAAUUAAAGAAACAUUUGAAAUCAAUGCACCAGAGGCUAGAGACAGAGUGCUAGGAAGGGAACAGGAUGGGGACAGGGACACCAGAGCAAAGAUAGAGUCAAAGACACAUUUCCAAAAUGGCAAUUCAUGCCUUGUGUCAGUUGUACCCACCUCACAUUCUUUAACACUUAAGGUUUUUCUGGGUAGUAAGUGCAAUACAUUCUUAUUAUAAAACAAUAUAGACAGUUCAGUAUGUAUAAAUGAGGAUAAAAUCAAAAUCACCCACAAUCUCACCACUUUGUGAUAAUAACCAUUAACUUCAAUAUUGAUGAAUUUCCUUGAAUGUUUUAUCUACAAUAUUUCUUUCAUAUAGUUGAUAUCACUCUGUAUGCACAAACUUGUAUCCUUUUUCUAAAUCUUAAUAUCAUAAUAUUAGCAUUUUCUAAUGUUAGUAGAUGUACUUCUUAAAUAUUGCUUUUUAAUGAUAAAGGUUUUUUUUUUUUUUUUUACAAAUAAAGAUUUGUCUAUAUUUUGGGUUAUUUCCUUAACACAUAUUCACAAAGGUAAGAAUUAAAAAGUAAUUUUAACUAAGUCAAGGAGCAUGAAAAGUUUUUAGAUUCUUGGUACACAUUUUUAUCCAGUGUUUUAAAAAACUACUACCAUAGUACACAUCUCCAAUUUCAAUAUCUCUAUGUGAGUGCUUGCCUUAUCAUGAAAAAGUCAAUAUUGAAUAUUAUUAUUAUUUUAUUAUACUUUUAUAACUUCAUUGGCAAAAUGUUAACCUGCCAUUUUAAAGUUUGCCUUUGUUAGAUUAUUAGAGAGAUUGAAUUUGUUUUCAGACAAAUAUUUUAUUAAGUAUGUUAUUUUCUCAUGAAAAUGGUUUGUUCAUAACCUUUGCCUUUUGAUCUAUUGGAAUGUGUUUUCUAAUCAGCAAGAAUAUUAGUUUUAUUUUGCUUAUUAUAUAUUUGAAUUUACUUUUACUUUUAUAAAAAUAAUACCUGCAUAUAGUUAAAAGCCACAGGGUGCUAAAAGAUUUGUGGCAAAAUAACAGCAGUCCCUUUCUCUGAAGCCCUCCUCAGGACCUAUUCUCAUGUGUCAGAAGCAACUACUUUCAAUUUUUUAGCUGUUUCUUCUAAACAUUUUUUGACCAUUUUUUGAGGUUGGGUUUUAGGUGAGAUCUGCCAUGGUAUCCUAUUAUGAAGACAAAGAUUUUGCCUCUUUUAGACAGCCUCCUCAUUUUCUUCUUAAUCCUCCUAAAGUGGUUAAAGUGCAAUUUUUGGUUAAAUUACAAGUCAGUGUUUCUAAAUGCAACGUGGACUCAUGCAUUGGAUCCCGGAAUAGAAAAACUGGUAAAAUUAAAAUGGUAUCUAGUGUCACAUAGUACUGUAUUGACAAAUGUCACAUGGUUAUGGAAGAUAUUAAAAUGCAGGGAAUCUGGGUGAAGGGUAUACAGGUAUACAGAGACUAUAUACAGGUAUAUAGUCUCUGUACUAUAUUGACAACUGUUCUAUAAAUCUAAAGUUAUUCCUAAGGUAAAAGUUUAUUCAAGGAAAGUCAGUAUUUACACUACGAUACACAUAUAUUUGCUGCUGAGCCAAAAAGUAUGCCAUAGUUAUGGCUGCUUUGUAGUACAACAUUUACUUUUUUUUCUAGAGUUAAUACUUGCCUCAUUUUAAAUUUAUUUAUGAAACUAUGUUCCAAAUCCUCAAGUAAAUCUGUUUAACAGAUAUGACAAAUAUCUGUCAAUAUUAUUAUCCAAGUGCUUAAAUACAUCUGAUAAUCUACAGUUAAAUAUGUUUUAAUCUACAGUUAAAUAUGUUUUCCCCUGGUACCUCCUUCUUUGAGCCCUUGAUUCUACUGCUCUAAUUUGGUUGAUUGAUUUGGAACCUUCCUUUUCCUCUUCCCUGUGUUGGAUUUGCUGUUUGCUGGAUUCCUGUCUUACUUACUCUUCACUUAUCCUUUAUUUUGCUAAAAUAAAUAUAUCUUCCAUACCAUUCUAAGAAAGAGUAUAUGAUGGAUGAACAGUUGAGUCAGGGCUAAUACUAUUCUUACUCUACUCUUAUACCUGUUUGUAAUUUGAAUAGUAUAGAAUAAUAGCUGGGAAUACAUUUUCCUCCGGAUUUGGAAGGCAUUGUUCCAUAGUCUUGUAGCUUCCAGUGUGACUCUUGAAUAGUCCGAUAUGAUUCUGAUUGCAGAUUCUAAUUAUGCACCUAUUUUUCCUCCGAGGUUACUUAUUUAUUUUUUUUGAGGCGGAGUUUCGCUUUUGUUGCCCAGGCUGGAGUGCAAUGGUACAACGUUGGCUCACUCCAACCUCUGCCUCUCAGGUUCAAGCGAUUCUCCUGCCUCAGCCUCCAAAGUAGCUGGGAUUACAGGCAUGCGCCACCACCCCCAGCUAAUUUUGUAUUUUUAGUAGAGAUGGGAUUUCUCCAUGUUGGUCAGGCUGGUCUCGAACUCCCAACCUUAGGUGAUCCACCUGCCUCGGCCUCCCAAAGUGCUGGGAUUACAGGCGUGACCCACGACGCCCAGCCUCGUCUGAAUUUUUUAGCAUCUUCUCCUUAUCUAUCUCUGAAGUAACAUUUUACUAUCAUGUAUCUUGAUUAGUUUUUUCAUUCAUUCAUUCAUUCAUUCAUUCAUUCAUUCAUUCAUUCAUUCUUCUGGGCAUUUUGACAAGAUCUUUCAACCUAGAAAUACGGUUUUUCUUCUUUAUUUUCUUCUUUAUUCUCUCUGAUCUCUGGAGUUCCUACUAAUUGAGUCUUCUGGGUUGAUCCUCUAACUUUUCUCUCCUAAUCUUUUUGUUUUUGGUUUUGCUCACUUUCUGAAAUAUUUUCUCAAUUGUAUCUUCAAACUCUUCUAUUGCUUUUGAAAAAUAUGGCUAUCCUUUUUGAUGUCAGUCUUUUUGGUAGAUUUUUUAUUUUAUUUUGAAGGCUAUAGAGCAAUAACUGGUGAUCCUAAGCUGUCCAUUCAUACUUAAGAAUAAAGUAUUAAAAAACUAAUUAGGAAACUAUUCCAAGUAAUUUUAAAAUGCAAUACUAUGACUAUAAAACUGUAGUGGGUUAUACUCCAAAGACAAAAACUAUUCCAAAAUAUAUUUAAAUAGUUUUCAGUAAUCAUAUUGUUUGUACAAAUUGAUACUGUUAUUCUAAGUUGUAGAGUAUGUAUUCCUACAUAAAACAAAUGAGUAAUUAUAUGAAAUUCAAAUUCUAUCAUCCUCAGUGUUGUUGAAAUCAGAAUUUUCAUCAUGGGAGAAAGGGCACGAUAGAAGAGAUUAAAUAAAAGCUCUAGUCUGAAUUUAAAUUGAAGCAUCAUUUUAAAUUUGUCAUGUAUUUUAUCUUUUUUAAAAAAAUAAAUCUUAGCCUUGUCUACUGAAAAAGUCUAGAAAUAAUGACCGACCUAGUAGCAAUAAGUUUCCCUAGCAGCCAAAUGGUAGUCUUAUAAUACCAUUUCCCAUUGAAAGCAGCCAGAGUUAUUUAGAGAAAUGGCUGAUUCCCGGCCCAGAACAAAUUGUCCUACAGACAGCAAGAAAAACUAUGAAUGACUAAUGGCAUCAUGUCAAAAGGACUCAGGAGCCCACUUUAAAAGGCCCUUAUAGCCAAAGAUGGGACAAUUGAGCGUAAAAAGGAAAAUAAAUGCAAUGAAUUGAGACACAUUAGAUAUUUUUAAAAUCAUGAGAUCAUAAGCAUAUCAAAGAAAUCUAAUUGGUCAACAUUAGAGAACACUGGGGAACCAACUCAUUAUUUUUAAAAGCGGUAAAUAAAAAGAUGGGAUCAAAUAAUUUAUGGGAAUGUUUCUCUGUAAAAUUAUUUUACCUAAUAAAUAAAGACAAAAUAAUAGAGUUACAGUAUAGCAGUUUUGCAAAAUAAAUGAAUCUAGGUAUUGAGCUUCCGUGGCUGCUAACACCAUUCAAAAAAGACUCAGUGAAACACCAUGUACCUUCUAAUGAGCCAACCCAACACCGUCUAAGAAGUAGCUUUGCCACGAAAAUAAAUCUGAAUCUGAUCAGCCUUCAUUUCCCACUCUCAACUUAAAAGAAAUACAGAAGACAGAGGUGUAUGUUAAACUUAGCAUGAGCAAUUGCUUCCAGUUUAGCACUGGAAGUCCUGUGUCUCAGAAAGCCCCCCAGUCCUAGGCAAACCUGUGGGGUUGUCACUCUAUCUGGAAAAGUCAUCAGGAAAACCCAGAAUAUGGCAAAGCCUGUCAGUGGGGUGGGCACAAAGAUCUUGACUUUAGUUGAUUUCUUCUGCUCUCAGUCCUAAGCUUCACCCUAAUAAUUGGGCCUGAGUCUUUCUAGAGUUUGGUGAGACAAGCAGCCUGCUGCUUUAGGCUAUCUUUGUCCUCAGGCACUCACACAAAGUUGUCCAUUUUCUGGCCAUUUCUCCAUCUACUUUUUUUUUUUGGUGUGUAAAAUUGUCAUAAAAUAUACAUAACAGAAAAUUUAUCAUUUUAGCCAUUUUAAAGUGUACGUUUCAGUGACAUUAAGUACAUUCACAUUGUUGUGCAACAAUGACCACCAUCCAUCUCCAGAUCUUUUCACUAUACGCAACGGAAACUCUAUACCCAUUGAACAAUAACUCCCCAUUAUCCUUUGGCCCCACCCUGGCAACCACCAUUUAACUUUUUGUCCCUUUAGAUUUCACUACUUUAGGUACUUCAUAGAAGUAGAAUUAUACAGUAUUUGUCUUUUUGUGACUGGCGUUUUUCCCUCAGCCUGAUGUCUUCAAGGUUCAACUGUAUUUUAGCAUGUAUCAGAACUUCAUUUCUUUUUGUGGCUGAAUAAUAUUGCAUAUAUAUAUGCAUAUAUAUACAUAUAUAAUGUAUAUUUUUGUACAGUGCAUGUGUAACAUUGCAUAUAUAUGCAUAUAUAUAUAUGCUGUGUUGCUCUUUGUACAGUGACUAACAACAGAUAAUCUAUCAAUAUGUUACUACAUCAUAUUAUUUGUGCCUAAACAUUCAUUACUAAGUACACACGUUAAAGGAUGUAAAAAACACAUGUACUAAGUACACAUGUUAAAGGAUGUAAAAAGGAUGUUUUCUUUUUUGGACUUUUAAUUAAGAUCUCAAACCCGGGGAAAAUAGGUAUUAAGUAUCCCCUCAUUCAAAAGCAAGUCACUUGACUGUCUCUGCAGGACUUGCAGAGAGAAUGACUCGAAACUAAUCUGCCUUGAUACCUCCUAUCACCUCCAGGCUAUGUAAGAAUGAGCUAAGGACCAAGAGGUCCAGAGGAAGUCAGAGUGUUGGGACAUCCCCCACCCACAGGGGAGAUGAAAGCUUUUCAAAGAUUACAAAGAGGUCUGUUCUGACAGCAUAGGGAGUGAGCCUGACUUCCAGUGGAUAAGAGUGUGUGUUUCCCAUGGGACAGACAGGUGAGGACUCUGGGUUAUCCUGGAGCAAGAGCCGCUGGAAGCCAGGGCUUGACAGGAGUCAUUGGUGGCCACUGAGGAGAUAUUGUCCAUAACAGGGAGCUGCAGUUGGAGGUCUGCAGUUGGGAAUAUGCAACCCUGGAGAAGCCAAAGGCAGAGUCAGUGGGGAAGACGGGUAGAAGAUCAAGGUAGGGAGAAAUAAUGAAGGAAGUACCACAGUCCCUUUCCCUAUUGCUGAUCUCAAAACAUGAUUCACAGCAGAGCUUAGAAAGGGGGGAAGUUUUAGUUUGUGUAAAAGACUGAAGUUUGGGUAUAUGGUAUUGAAGUUUUAGAAUUUUGAACUAAUGGAAAAGUUCUGGAAUUUGCCUGAGGUCCAUCCAGUGCCAUAGAAGGAAGAUUAAAGAGAGCCAUUUUACCAGAGGAUGGUGAAAAAUACAGUGGCAUUCUGUUUACACACUACUUAGUUCAGGUCAGUUUCAUAUAUUAGUACUAUUUCUUAUUCAUGGGUUUUCAUCUAUGUCCUAUUAUCUGUCUCUUCAUCUAUAUGCCAGAAGUAUACUGUGAUGUCCAUUGUAACUUUCAAUGAUGCUCUAAUAUUUGGCAGAUUAAAAAAUAGUCUCCAUUUGAUAAUGUAUGAUCUUGUAUACAGUACACCCUUAUCUCAUACAACCCUCACCCCAUACAUGCAAGGUUACUAUUUUCCCCAUUUUAGAGCUGAGGCUUAAGGAACUUAAGAUCACAAAGCCAUUAUGUGGCUGUCAGAUCCUUAACCUGCACUCUUGACAUAGGACUGUGCCCAACCUGCUAUGCCCCCUUAUUAAUCUUUUGUCAAGAACUUCACAGAUACUCUUGUCUGUUUAUUUCUCUGUAUUACCUUAGUAUUAGUUUGCCAAUGUAUUUGGCUGAGCGAGUAAUUACCUGAUCAAGUAUAUUCUCUUUCCAGGUUCUCUCUGCCAGAGGAGACUCUUCUUCUAAGGGACAUUUAUUUUUUUUACAUGGUAGUCACUCCAGAUAGGCAGAUUGUCACACUAGUAGGGAAAAAUGCCCCAUGUAUUUUCAUACCUUAGUCUCUUCAUUAGUUCCUUCCUCCCUGGGUUGUUUCCUUAUAACAUUUGCCGUCUAAAGUGUAUCAUGAUUUUUCCUCAACUCUGCAGUGCUUAUAUUAUUUUCCCCACAUUAAACAUUUGGAAUUAACCAUUCCCUUACCUUCCCACUUCCACUUUUUCAAAUUACCCCUUUCUUUAAAGCCUAAUUCAUGUUUCAAAUGCUCCACCAUUAUCCCAGUCAACAGCAGGCAUCUUUUCAGUCUGAAUUUAUUGUGUGCCGCUUGAUAAUGUUAGGAGCCUUCCUGUGAUUUUAUGUUUGCUAUGAAAAGCAUGGCUCUAUCUCAAGGGCUCUUAGUAUGAACUGAUGAGGGUGGGCAAGCCUGUUAUAUGGGGUGAUGAUGGAAUGGGGUGGGGUGGACAGAUCAACUUUUGUGAUAGGUGUGGCCUGACAGCUAACUCUCCAAAUUGUCAACAGUGAAGUGUGCUGCCAACCUAAGCCUGAUUCUAGCCAGCAUCUAUCCCCAGGGCUGAAUGGUCAUGCCGUUCACAUUCAUCUAUGCUCAAUGCAGCCAGGGCAACUUGGACAUGUUUCAAUGUACUGAAGAAUUAAAUCUCCCCAUCUCUCCCUUGAUUCCAGGAUGGAGGCACUCGGGCUGUCAGGCAUUUAAAAAAUAAACCUCAAGUGUCUUUUCUAUGUCAAGCAUUGACCUAGAAGUGAGAUAGGGAAGACAAGCACUGUGCCUUCAUGGGGCUUAUAACACCAGUGGAAGGAGAAAGAAAAGUACAAAGUCAGAAGUUCAUGACUGCAGUCAUGGACUCACAGCCCAAGGAAGUCUUUCUGAGUCAAAGGAGACAUGUAGAAGAGCAUUUAGAGCAAGGGUUCUCAACUGGGGGUAAUUUUGACCUCCAAAGGACAUUUGGCAAUGUCUAAAGACACUUUUAAUUGUCAUAACUGUGGGAGUGGAGGCUGCUAGUGGUGUCUUGUGAGUAGAGAGGCUAGGGAUGCUGUUAAACCUCCCAAAUGCACAGGACAGCCUCACAACAAAGAAUUAUCUGGCCCCGAACAUCAGGUGUGCCAAGUUUGAGAAACCCUUCUUUAGUGGGAGGGCAAAGAAGCUGAGGGAAUCAGGACUUUCACUGACUGGGCUGGGGUUCAGGGCUGAGAGCCAGUAAUAAUAGGAAUAAGGACAAACAAAACAAAACAAACAAAACAAAAGCCUGAAAACUACGGCAGAGGGUGAGUUGGAUGUAUAGAUUAGCAGCAGCAGUAGUGUCAUGCAGCUGUCAUAAGUGACAGCUUGGGGAGCUUGGCUACAGAAGAUGAUUCCCAGAGCCAUUUAAGGCAAAGGAACGCCUACAUGCCUGUGAUGGACUCAGAGUGAACCUGCAGGUGCUGGCUACUACUGGCUGAGUGAAGGAAGUCAAUAGGGUUGAAAGUGGCCUUUAAGUGGGCCUGGUGGCUCACGCCUGUAAUCUCAGCACUUUGGGAGGCCAAGGCGGGUGGAUCACGAGGUCAGGCGUUUGAGACCAGUCUGGCCAACAUAGUGAAACCCUGUCUCUACUAAAAAUACAAAAAAUUAGCUGGGAGUGGUGGUGCGCACCUAUAAUCCCAGCUACUCAGGAGGCUGAGGCAGGAGAAUCGCUUGAACCUGGGAGGCAGAGGGUGCAGUGAGCCGAGAUCACGCCACUGCACUCCAGCCCAGGCGACGGUGCAAGACUGUCAAAAAAAAAAAAAAAAAAAGAAAGAAAAGAAAGAAAGACAGAAAGUGGACUUUCAGUAUUUCCUAAAUAAUUUCAGGGUAGGGACUAAUUCUUAGCAUGUUUAUGUUCUCCAUAAUGCUUAACCAAGUGUCCUAUAUUUGUUCAAUUACUGCUUAUUAAUUGACUGAUUGAUGGUGUCCUUAAUUGGUCAUGCCAUUUCCAUCCACCUAUGCUCAGCACAGCCAGGACAAUUUGGACAUCUUCCAAUGUAUUGAAGAAUUAAAUCUCCCAGUGAGGAUCUUGGCAAUCAUAUCACCAAUAGGCUUGGAUUCAAAUCUGCAUUUAAAUAGCAAUGAAACAAACACACUCCAUCCCUGUGGAUAGCAAGCAGCAUAAUCUGCUUACUUAUGGCUGGGCACCUGUGAGAAAUGAAAGUGAUAGGCAGUAACUUCAGUGAUGAAUUACAGAACAGUUUCAUUUAGCUCAUUGCACCAAGACAAAGCAUCCCAGCAGCCUCUGGAGAAAUUAAUGUACCUUAACUUGAAUUAGUGGAUAAUUUCAGAUCAGCUAUUUUACAUAUCUAGCUGCUUCUCCUUCCCUCCAUAGGCCACCUCUUGCCCUUUCUCUUCCUAAAUCUGGCUCUCAAAGCUAAGUAUUCUAGAAGUUAAACAUUGAAGUAGAAAUCAGUGGACAUGAUUCAUGUCCUUACCCUCUCAGCAGAUGCCUAGCCUUGUUCCUUUUUUACAGAGCCUUGUUUUCACAAUUGUCAUGUUAGCUCAUGGAGGAAGUUGUUACUUCCUCCCAUGAUAGUUACAUGACCAUGGAGAACCCUAGAAGUCAGACAGACUUUACAAUCCAAAGAAAAUUACUCCUCGGUGGUAGGAUUUUAGGUACCACAAAGGCAACUGUGGACAGAGAAAGCCUCUGACUGCCCCUAAAAAUCACAUCAUAUCUACAAAUAAAUAAUGAUGCCAUUGCUUGAUCAUUAAAUUCCUGUGGGAUGUUGGCCGUGAAACUUCAUCUUUUUGUAUCUCUAUUUCUCCCUUCCUGAUGAUACUUCCUUUCCAUUUGCCAAUCCACAACUGGCAAGGAGAUCAUCAAACGCAGUGGGCAAAGGCAGAAUUUCUCUCUUUCUCAUAGUAUUUGCUGUAGUUCCACACAUGGUGACUGAACACCUGGAGCAGAGGCCCCGUUGCACACUGAAUUGGCCUCAUUAUAUCAUGAGCAAGAUCUUCUAUCACUGUUACUCCUUAUUGUUGUGAAGACUUCUUUUAUGUCUGGAAAGACAUUUAGGCAACUUAGCAUUGUGAUAGAAAACAGCUAAACUACUACAGUUUUCUAAGUUCAAAUCAAGAUUUCACUCACCCCCUAGCAUCUUACUAAAACCUGGGUUUCCUAUAGGGGAGGAUAAAUUGCCCACAAAGUUAUGACUACCAGAAUUGGGACUCUGUUCUGUGAAGUAGAAAUAAAUGCAGAGACCAUUUUUUCAUCCUAGAGUAAGUAGAAAAAAAGCAACAGUUAUUUUCACUUUCUUUUGGCACACUUGGUUUGGCCUAAAACCAUCAACUGUAGAGGUAUAUUGGUCUUGAAAAGAAAAAACAACCAAGGUGUACAGAAAAGGAAGUGCCUACUUGCAUAGUGGAGUUAGAGAAGGUUUCCCAGAGAGGCCAUUUUACUUGGCCAUUGAAUGCUGCAAAAGUAGAACUUUUAUAGACAUGCAAGUAUCAGAGGCAUGUGAACCAGAACAACUCCAUCUUGAAUAGGAACUGGGCAAAAUGAGGCUGAAACCUACUGGGCUGCAUUCCCAGACAGUUAAGGCAUUCUAAGUCACAGAAUGAGAUAGGAGGUCGGCACAAGAUACAGGUCAUAAAGAUCUUGCUGAUAAAACAGGUUGCUGUAAAGAAGCUGGCUAAAUCCUACCAAAACCAAGAUGGCCAGGAUAGUGACCUCUGGUCAUCCUCACUGCUACACUCCCACCAGUGCCAUGACAGUUUGCAAACGCCAUGGCAACGUCAGGAAGUUACCCUAUAUGGUCUGAAAAAGGGGAGCACGAAUAAUCCACCCCAUGUUUAGCAUAUCAUCAAGAAAUAACCGUAAAAAUGGGCAACCAGCAGCCCUCGGCUAUGCUGUCUAUGGAGUACUCAUUCUUUUAUUCCUUUACUUUCUUAAUGAACUUGCUUUCACUUUUCACUGCGGACUCGCCCUGAAUUCUUUCUUGUGUGAGAUCCAACAACCCUCUCUAGGGGUCUGGAUGGGGACCCCUUUCCUGUAACAUAUUUCUCUGUCCUGUAACACUAAGAAUAACAAGACAUUACAGCUGUUUCUGUAAUAAACAGCCAAUAAACAUUAACAGCUUAAAAUGGUAAAGGUUUAUUUCUUUCACUGUGUGCCCUUUCUGGGUUUGCAGGCACAUUGUGUAUUACUGUCAUUCAGGAAGCAAGCUUCAAAGUUGCUUGUUACCAUGCCAGAGACAAAAUUAAAUAUAUCAAAACAUACUGGCUCCAAAAGUGACACACAACACUUCUACUCAACUUCCACUGGGGAACACAAGGCACAUGGCCACGCCUAACUUCAAGUGGGCGGGAGAGUCAUUCUUCCAUGUUCCUGGAGAGUGGGAAGCAGAAUAUUUGUGAGUAGCCUUAAAACUAUCCUGAGGCAUGUGGCUAAGAAGAAAGGCAUCAAAGAGCCUGGCAUGUUUGAGACACAGUAAAAAGGUGAAAUCUUAGCUUGGAAACCACCAAUGAAAAACGUUAUAUGCCAUACAAUUUGGAAUUUGUUCUGAAGGUGUGAAAAGUUUUUUUAAAAAGGAUGUUAAGCCAAGGAAUGAUGUAUUACAUUUGUUUGAGGUACCUGAUAAUCAGAUUAAAUCAGAUUCCAGCGCAAUGAUCCCCCUUGCUGCCACAUGUGGAAAAAUUCACAGAUAACCUUGAUGGGCUCCUCCAUAUGGGCUCCUAGGAAGAAAGAGUGAGCCAGGGUUCAUGAUGGGGCAGCACCAAUUUGCUUUCCUGAUUUUGUAACAGGGAAAGCAAAGUAUUAAGCAGUAUGGAGUGAUCAUUUUGCACUGUAGCAUACUUCUUAAAGUUCAUUCAGGUACCAGAGGCAUUACCAUGCAUUAUGCUAGGAGCACUGCCCCAUGGCCAGUAAACUGAAAUGCUAUUUCCAGACUGGUAAAAAGUGAGAUUAGCAAAUGUGUUUACAACUUGCAAUCCUAGCCCUUCACCCAGGAGCUGUGUUGAAACAACCUGAAUCUAAGGGCAUAAUUAAGAGGACCCAGGGAUUUAUAGUUUGAGGCUUUUUGCCUGAGUACUUUCCCCAAUUCACCCACUACUCUGAGCACAGAAAUCCACAAAUGUGCUGUCCUGAGGUGUGAGAGGGCAAAGGUCACAGCAUUAGAGCAACCAGAAUGUUCAAAAGUGUGUUGGUUUCCUACGGCUGCUGUAACAAGUGGCUAUAAACUAGGUGGACUGCAAUAGCAAAAAUUUAUUCUCUCACAGUUCUGGCUGUCAGCAGCCUGAAAUCAGGGAGUCAGCAGAGCCGUGCUCCCUCUGGAGGCUCUAGGGAAAAUCCAUUCCUUGCCUUUUCAAAUUUCUGGUGACUCUAGGCAUUCUUUGGCUUGCAAAUUAUCACUACACUCUCUGCUUCCAAAGUCACAUUGCCUCCUACUCUUCUGUAUGUCUUCUUUUAUGUGUCUCUGUCCCAACACUUCCUGUCUCUCUCUUAUUAGAAUACAUGUGAUUGCAUUUAGGGCACACCCAGAUAAUCCAGGAUAAAUUCCUGCUCUCAAGAUUCUUAAUCACAUCUUUGCCCCAUUCAUUUCAUUUAUUCAUUUUGAAGGUAACAUUCAUAGGUUCCAGGGAUUAAGAUGCAGAAAUAUAUUUUGGCAGGGGUGGGGGGGGCUACCAUUCAACCCACUCUAUAGUGGAAAUCCUGGAAGGAAGGGUUCCUCAGAGGGAUUGAGCCCCAAAAUAUGCAUUUAAAAUAUGCCCAAAGCUUUGGCUAGCUGUCAAACUAUACUAUAAGUGUGGGACCCAAGAGAGCCUGAUCAAAAAGAAGCAGCUGAAAACUGAAAAAACUGAGUGGAGAUUCUAGCUGCUGCCAAUGGAAAGGGAGACCAUUUGGAGUUUGACUCUAGCUAAGUUAACUCUCUGCUAGAAAAAAAACAAAUCAUGCUCCAGAGAAAUAACAGAAUCUAAAGCCUCCAUGGAGGAGUUGGCUUCAGGUCAAAAUUGUAUAACCAUAAACAAUUACAAAGAUUUACCUGGCAGCCUGGCAAGGGGGAAAACUUACCCUCCCUCCCCGUGCCAGACUUGGUGCACAGUUAGUACAUUGCAAUCUCUGAAGGAAGUUGAGACUCCUUCAGAGACUGAAGACUCUGAAGUGGAGGACUCAGUCACCCUCUCCACCAACCCUAGCUAGCCAUGCUCUUGUGCAUAUCUGCAUUUCCAGCCAAGGCACCUCCAUUCAGCAGCCUCCUUAUGGGUAGGGUGGGGUGGGGUUCAGCUUAGAUACCAUGCAGGCACCACUGCUAAGACCUCCUUAUCCUUGAGGACACUUUUCACCACUCUGACUCAGUCUUUCAUGCGUAUCUUUUUCCUGUUUCUCUCAUUCCAUCCCCCGAGUCCAGAAAAUGGCAGGAACCUUUUGUUCCCCAGCUGCAGUGAUCCAUCUGACCCUCACCUGGUGGCACUCCAUGAGGAAAAAAUGGAGCAUUGAGAGAACUGGCACUACUCUUCUCUUUUUGGCCUCUUGCUUAGACUAACACAGUAAGUGAAUAAAGGCUUGAUUGUUGCUUUCAGUUUGGCUGUUGCCUGAAUUGAUCACCUUGACACCUCAUAGCUCUCAACAUCUACUCUAUAUAUUCAUAAUGUACAGUUUUCAGUUAAAAAAUAAGACAUGUAGAAACACAAAAAUGAUGGUGAUACUCAAGAAGAAGGAAGAUGAGGACGAGGAGAAAAAUAUAAACCAGACCCAAUAUUGUCUAGAUGCUGCAAUUAUCAGACAAGGACUUUAAUGCAGCUGUUAUAAAUAUAGUCAAGGACUUAAAGGAAAAUAUAUGUACAAUGAAUAAGCAAAUGGAGAAUAUCCAUAGUGAAAAAAACUAUAUUAAAGAACAAAAUUUGAAUUCUAGAGCUGAAAAAAAUAAAAUUAUAGAAAUAAAAAUUUAUUGACUUAACUGUAGAUUAAAAAUAGCAAGAGUCAGUGAAUUUGAAAAUAGAUCAAUAGAAAUGAUCUAAUCCGAAGAACAGAGAAAAAAUGAUGGAAUUAAAAUGAACAGUCUCUCAGAGAACUGUCAAACCAUUUAUCAAGUAGCUUAAUGUGUAUGCAAUUGGAGUCCUGGGAAGAGAAGAGAUAAAAAAAAUUGAGCAGAAAAAAUACUUAAAGAAACACUGAAUGAAACUUAUGAAGGACAUCAAUUUAAAGAUCCAAAAUGCGCCCACAAACCCCAAUAAAUAUAAAUGCAAAGAAAAUCACAUCAAGACAUAUCAUAGUCAAAUAGAUAAAAUGGAAAGAUAAAAAAGAAUUUUGAAAGCAACCAGAGAAACAAUGAUGUAUUACAUACAGUGGAAAAUGGAUGCAGAUCACGGCUGGCUUCUUAUCAGAAACAAUAAAGAAUGGAAAACAAUGGCUACUUUCCUGGCAAAACCUAUGCUAUGACUCAUAUCUCAGUCAUAUUAUAAGCUACAGCUAAUAGAUAGAAAUCUGCUCUAAUCACCCACACAAAGUGUCAUUAUAGAGACUAGAGCCAGGUUUCUUACUCAUUAUGGAGUAGAAGAGGCAGUGUAUAGGCUUCUUGGGAUACUAACUAAAAGACACUGGGACCAAGGCUUCAAAGAAACAAUGUCAAGUUGGGGAACAGAGGCCUCAGAAUUGGGGAAGUCAAAAGCUAAAAAUGCAGUACCAGCUGUUUACAGCAGGCCCACUGCCAUCUUAAACCUAUAGUAGGGCUUGAGCAGGCACAUUGGCUUCAGGAUCUGAUUUUUAAGAUGGAGAUGGCAAGAAUAGCGUUGUAGCCUCUAAGAUUAGGCCUACAAGUCCCCUUAACAAGAGUAGUUGCUCUAACAUAUUGAUUCUUUACAAUAGACCAACAACUUGGGGAUUCAAUUAUUCAUUAAACAAAUAUUUAUCAUGCACCUACUCUGUUAGGCUAUUUUACAUUCUGGAGAUACAUCAGUAAGAAAAUAAGGCAAAUCUUAUUGCUCUUAUGUUGCUUAUAUUCCAGCAGAAAGAAAGAAAGAAAAAUUAUGAUAAAUAAGUAAAUUAUCUUAUAUUAGCAAGUAAUAAUUAGUAUGGAAAAAACAGAGAGAUUGUGAGUGUUGAAGGAAUAUUGAAAUUUUAGAUGGGAUGGUCAGGGUAGGCUUCACUUAGAAGGUGACAUUUGAGCAAAGAGUUUAAUGAUAAGGAAGCAUUGUGAAUAUCUUGGGAAAGAGUUUUGCAGGCAGGGAUAAUAGCCAGUGCAAAGACCCUGAGGCAAGAAUGUGCUUUCGGCUGCACAAGGCCUAGUUCAUGCAUCCAAACAAGAGGUUGGAGCAGUUUAUUUCCUCUCUCUUUGAGGUCAGGAUGGAUUUUGGGAACUGAAGUGGACUGAGCCAACAAGGCAGGGAUCAAUAUCCAGCAGCUAUAAGGAGAAGUGGGGAUGCCAAGGCUGAGACUAGGACUGGGCCUGAGAACAGUAGUAUGAACUCUGCCACUUCUCACUCAAACUAUCGUCUAGCUUUUCUCUUUUUCCUGGAUCUUCUUUGUGCCUAAUCGAUAUGUUAUUUGUAAGCAUGAAAUCUGACUUUAUGAACUCUGUGAUAAUGUACAAUGUUUUCAAGUUGUUUCACUAAAGGAGUAAUUAUAAAGUCUUAAUUGCUUAUCUUUUAUAUCAAAGCAUUGAAAUAACAUUUAAAUAGAUCAAAGUGUUUAGAGAAAGAUGCAAAUUGGCUUUAUCACAAGAAUGUGGGAGAAUCUGGACUUUGACUUGGCAUAUAAGUUGGGUUGCCUGUCCAGUACCACCUUAACUCCUGAAAAAUAGGGGCUCCUGCUCAAACUGAGGCUGUACCUAUCACAAACACCAAUGAAUGUGGUAAAGAACACAUAAUACUUUUGGCCACAACUAGUCAGUGCUGGUUCAUUGUUACCCAUAACUCAGCAUUUGCUCCUGUGGUUAACACCACUCAGGCCCCAAAGAAAUGCUUCAGUACAUUUCUUGGUCUGUGUGCUCAAAGUACAAAGUAACUGUUUCAAUAAUACUGUAAGGUUUAUGGGUUAUGCUGCUGUUGAUAUUGGACACAAAUGGCUUUGAAGUGCAAGAGAACUGGAGCAGUGAAAGUGCGUAGUUAAGUGAAAAGAUAAAUUAUUUGACUUGUCAAAUCUCUACUCUCAGAUAGCAUGCAUACAAUGAAUUCUUGUGCAACGAAGUAUAAUUUCUCUAUAAUGCUGAGUGUCUAUUUUUUUGCUCUUUGAUUUCAUGUCUUCAGAGUUUCUCACAAAUUAGUAUGGAAUCCCAACAAUUGCAAAUGGCAGCUGAGGAAUAUUUUAUAAUAUCAAAUAAUUCACAUCACUUAAAUUUUCAUAUGUGUAGGUCUAUACAUAACUUUUGUAGUGCAUAACACAAAUUUUUACUUUGACAAUUAGAUGGAUAUGGUAUAAGAUAAUUGUGAAUGAUUUCAUGUAAAAAAUGUUUGAUAAGAUUUAUUUUCAAAAAGUAAAAUAAAAGUUGAUAUUCAC